AUUGAACGCUGGCGGCAGGCCUAACACAUGCAAGUCGAACGAGUGGCGGACGGGUGAGUAAUGUCUGGGAAACUGCCUGAUGGAGGGGGAUAACUACUGGAAACGGGAGCUAAUACCGCAUACCAUCGGAUGUUCCCAGAUGGGAUUAGCUAGUUGGUGGGGUAACGGCUCACCUCGGCGACGAUCCCUAGUUGGUCUGAGAGGAUGACCAGGCACACUGGAACUGAGACACGGUCCAGAGUCCUACGGGAGGCAGCAGUGGGGAAUAUUGCACAAUGGGCGCAAGCCUGAUGCAGCCAUGCCGCGUGUAUGAAGAAGGCCUUCGGGUUGUAAAGUACUUUCAGCGGGGAGGCGUUACGCGCAGAAGAAGCACCGGCUAACUCCGUGCCAGCCGCCGCGGUAAUUC
rnacentral:rRNA from 1 species